rnacentral:rRNA from 1 species
UUAAGCGACUAAGCGUACACGGUGGAUGCCCUGGCAGUCAGAGGCGAUGAAGGACGUGCUAAUCUGCGAAAAGCGUCGGUAAGGUGAUAUGAACCGUUAUAACCGGCGAUGUCCGAAUGGGGAAACCCAGUGCAAUUCGUUGCACUAUCGUUAACUGAAUACAUAGGUUAACGAGGCGAACCGGGGGAACUGAAACAUCUAAGUACCCCGAGGAAAAGAAAUCAACCGAGAUUCCCCCAGUAGCGGCGAGCGAACGGGGAGCAGCCCAGAGUCUGAAUCAGCUUGUGUGUUAGUGGAACGGUCUGGAAAGUCCGACGGUACAGGGUGAUAGUCCCGUACACCAAAAUGCACAGGCUGUGAACUCGAAGAGUAGGGCGGGACACGUGGUAUCCUGUCUGAAUAUGGGGGGACCAUCCUCCAAGGCUAAAUACUCCUGACUGACCGAUAGUGAACCAGUACCGUGAGGGAAAGGCGAAAAGAACCCCGGCGAGGGGAGUGAAAAAGAACCUGAAACCGUGUACGUACAAGCAGUGGGAGCACCUUCGGGUGUGACUGCGUACCUUUUGUAUAAUGGGUCAGCGACUUAUAUUCUGUAGCAAGGUUAACCGUAUAGGGGAGCCGCAGGGAAACCGAGUCUUAACUGGGCGUUAAGUUGCAGGGUAUAGACCCGAAACCCGGUGAUCUAGCCAUGGGCAGGUUGAAGGUUGGGUAACACUAACUGGAGGACCGAACCGACUAAUGUUGAAAAAUUAGCGGAUGACUUGUGGCUGGGGGUGAAAGGCCAAUCAAACCGGGAGAUAGCUGGUUCUCCCCGAAAGCUAUUUAGGUAGCGCCUCGUGAACUCAUCUUCGGGGGUAGAGCACUGUUUCGGCUAGGGGGUCAUCCCGACUUACCAACCCGAUGCAAACUACGAAUACCGAAGAAUGUUAUCACGGGAGACACACGGCGGGUGCUAACGUCCGUCGUGAAGAGGGAAACAACCCAGACCGCCAGCUAAGGUCCCAAAGUCAUGGUUAAGUGGGAAACGAUGUGGGAAGGCACAGACAGCCAGGAUGUUGGCUUAGAAGCAGCCAUCAUUUAAAGAAAGCGUAAUAGCUCACUGGUCGAGUCGGCCUGCGCGGAAGAUGUAACGGGGCUAAACCAUGCACCGAAGCUGCGGCAGCGACACUAUGUGUUGUUGGGUAGGGGAGCGUUCUGUAAGCCUGCGAAGGUGACCUGUGAGGGUUGCUGGAGGUAUCAGAAGUGCGAAUGCUGACAUAAGUAACGAUAAAGCGGGUGAAAAGCCCGCUCGCCGGAAGACCAAGGGUUCCUGUCCAACGUUAAUCGGGGCAGGGUGAGUCGACCCCUAAGGCGAGGCCGAAAGGCGUAGUCGAUGGGAAACAGGUUAAUAUUCCUGUACUUGGUGUUACUGCGAAGGGGGGACGGAGAAGGCUAUGUUAGCCGGGCGACGGUUGUCCCGGUUUAAGCAUGUAGGCUGAUUGUCCAGGCAAAUCCGGAUAAUCAAGGCUGAGGUGUGAUGACGAGGCACUACGGUGCUGAAGUAACAAAUGCCCUGCUUCCAGGAAAAGCCUCUAAGCAUCAGGUAACAUCAAAUCGUACCCCAAACCGACACAGGUGGUCAGGUAGAGAAUACCAAGGCGCUUGAGAGAACUCGGGUGAAGGAACUAGGCAAAAUGGUGCCGUAACUUCGGGAGAAGGCACGCUGGUGUGUAGGUGAAGUCCCUGCGGAUGGAGCUGAGACCAGUCGAAGAUACCAGCUGGCUGCAACUGUUUAUUAAAAACACAGCACUGUGCAAACACGAAAGUGGACGUAUACGGUGUGACGCCUGCCCGGUGCCGGAAGGUUAAUUGAUGGGGUUAUCCGUAAGGAGAAGCUCUUGAUCGAAGCCCCGGUAAACGGCGGCCGUAACUAUAACGGUCCUAAGGUAGCGAAAUUCCUUGUCGGGUAAGUUCCGACCUGCACGAAUGGCGUAAUGAUGGCCAGGCUGUCUCCACCCGAGACUCAGUGAAAUUGAACUCGCUGUGAAGAUGCAGUGUACCCGCGGCAAGACGGAAAGACCCCGUGAACCUUUACUAUAGCUUGACACUGAACAUUGAGCCUUGAUGUGUAGGAUAGGUGGGAGGCUUUGAAGCGUGGACGCCAGUCUGCGUGGAGCCAACCUUGAAAUACCACCCUUUAAUGUUUGAUGUUCUAACGUUGGCCCCUUACCGGGGUUGCGGACAGUGUCUGGUGGGUAGUUUGACUGGGGCGGUCUCCUCCCAAAGCGUAACGGAGGAGCACGAAGGUUAGCUAAUCCUGGUCGGACAUCAGGAGGUUAGUGCAAUGGCAUAAGCUAGCUUGACUGCGAGCGUGACGGCGCGAGCAGGUGCGAAAGCAGGUCAUAGUGAUCCGGUGGUUCUGAAUGGAAGGGCCAUCGCUCAACGGAUAAAAGGUACUCCGGGGAUAACAGGCUGAUACCGCCCAAGAGUUCAUAUCGACGGCGGUGUUUGGCACCUCGAUGUCGGCUCAUCACAUCCUGGGGCUGAAGUAGGUCCCAAGGGUAUGGCUGUUCGCCAUUUAAAGUGGUACGCGAGCUGGGUUUAGAACGUCGUGAGACAGUUCGGUCCCUAUCUGCCGUGGGCGCUGGAGAAUUGAGGGGGGCUGCUCCUAGUACGAGAGGACCGGAGUGGACGCAUCACUGGUGUUCGGGUUGUCAUGCCAAUGGCACUGCCCGGUAGCUAAAUGCGGAAGAGAUAAGUGCUGAAAGCAUCUAAGCACGAAACUUGCCCCGAGAUGAGUUCUCCCUGAGACUUUAAGUCUCCUGAAGGAACGUUGAAGACGACGACGUUGAUAGGCCGGGUGUGUAAGCGCAGCGAUGCGUUGAGCUAACCGGUACUAAUGAACCGUGAGGCUUAACCUU